rnacentral:tRNA from 1 species
UCCGUGCGACCGCUCAAGGUGAGGGGACUUGGCUGUUAACCAAGACGCGCUACGUUCGAUUCGUAGGCACGGAGCCA